rnacentral:rRNA from 2 species
UAAGGAAUAUUGGUCAAUGGACGCAAGUCUGAACCAGCCAUGCCGCGUGAAGGAUGAAGGUCCUCUGGAUUGUAAACUUCUUUUAUAUGGGACGAAACCCGGGUAUUCCUACCCGAUUGACGGUACCAUAGGAAUAAGCACCGGCUAACUCCGUGCCAGCAGCCGCGGUAAUACGGAGGGUGCAAGCGUUAUCCGGAUUCACUGGGUUUAAAGGGUGCGUAGGAGGGCAGGUAAGUCAGUGGUGAAAUCUUCGAGCUUAACUCGGAAACUGCCGUUGAUACUAUCUGUCUUGAAUACCGUGGAGGUGAGCGGAAUAUGUCAUGUAGCGGUGAAAUGCUUAGAUAUGACAUAGAACACCGAUUGCGAAGGCAGCUCACUACACGAAUAUUGACUCUGAGGCACGAAAGCGUGGGGAUCAAACAGG